rnacentral:rRNA from 1 species
UACGUAGGGUGCGAGCGUUGUCCGGAAUCAUUGGGCGUAAAGGGCUCGUAGGCGGUCCAUCGCGUCGGGAGUGAAACGCUGGGGCUUAACCCCAGUCCUGCUUUCGAUACGGGUGGACUAGAGGUAGGCAGGGGAGAAUGGAAUUCCUGGUGUAGCGGUGAAAUGCGCAGAUAUCAGGAGGAACACCGGUGGCGAAGGCGGUUCUCUGGGCCUAAUCUGACGCUGAGGAGCGAAAGCGUGGGGAGCGAACAGG